CCAACACUUGAGGAGAUGAGAGCCAAGUGAGUGGGUAGCAGUGAAGGCUGCUCCAGGCAAAGGGAACACGACAAUCAACUGUUUGAAAACUCCCAUUGGGUCUCUAUCUCCUGGGAGACGUUAAAACUCUUUGUUCUAGGUUCUAUGGCCCUUCUCUGCCCUGGAGCUCCCCACAGAGAGGCUCUGGUCUUCUCUGUCCCAGGCAUGACAGCUAAUACUCUUCCUUUUCCUGCCCUGUCAUUUCCCUCCUCCUCAAACACAGAUUUUCUUUCCUUAGACACGAUUUCUUCCGCUGUGUUAGUCAGAGCCUUGUGGUGUUUGUUUAAAUAAACAAAUCCGUCAUGAAUACGAUAUGAAAGAAGAUUGGACCUUCAGGCUGACUAAUGACGAACAUGAUGAGUUUCUUAAGGCAAAUCAGUCUUUUCCUCUUCAAAGGAGUCAGUUUUACUGGAAGUACUACAUAUAAUUAAUUACAUAGGCAUUAAUAUCAUGCUGACAGAAAAACAAAAAAGGAAUGUGUUGCCACACAGAAGAUGCAGAACCACUUUUAUGGCCGAAGUGGAACCAUGGUGUGAUACAGCUUCAAGUGAUCUUAAAGAUCAUCUGGCUCUUGAGCAUCCAGUGAAAAGUGGCUUCCUUGGUCUGAAGGUUUGGCCUGUCUAAGACAUUUAGUUAAAAUCAGUGUUUUGCAUCUUUGAUCAGAACAUGUGAACAAAUAGGACAAUUUGGCUUUCUCACAUAGCCACCACCAGCUUCCUUAAAUGACUGUUGCCAGGUGUCACCCUAGCAGGACUGAGCCAUUAAUCAUGGCAAAUGAAGCCGCAGGACAGUGGUGUUGAAGGGAUCAACCUCUCAUGGCUAAAUGGCCUGGCUGAGAGAAACAGGCCAAGGUGGAGCUGAAGGGAAAUGAAGAGGUGGCCGAGACAGUGAGACAGAGACAGAGAGAGACGCUAAGCACUUUGGGAGCAGGGGCUGUGUCUCAUCAUUUUCUUUUUAAUUGUGAUAAAAUACACAUAACAUAAAAUUUACCAUUUUUACUUUUUUUUCUGAAGAAGAUUUGCCCUGAGCUAACAUCAGCUGCCAGUCUUCUUCUUUUUGUAUGUGAGCCACCACCACAGCGUGGCACUGACAGAUGAGUGAUAUAGAUCUGCACCCAGAAACUGAACCUGGGCCACUGACGUGGAGCAUGCCCAUUUUUCAACCAUUUUUAAGUGUAAGUUCAGUGGCAUUAAGAACAUUCACAUUGUUGUGUAGCAUCACCACCAUCUGUCUCCAGAGCUCUCUUUAUUUUGUAAAACUGAAACUCUGUCCCUAUUAAACAACAUCUCCCCACCACACCCCCCAAGUCCCUGGCAAUCAUCAUUAAUCCUACCUUCUGUCUCUACCAGCUUGACAAUUCUAGGUACCUCAUAUAAGUGGUGUCGUACAGUUUUCGUCCCGGCUUAUUUCACUCAGCAUAAUGUCCUCGAGGUUCCUUCCUGUUGUAGCAUGUGUCAGAAUUCCCUUCCUCUUUAAGGCUAAAUAAUAUUCUAUCAUCUGCAUAGACCACAUUUUGUUUAUUCAUUGACCCAUCAAUGCACACAUGGGAUGCUUCCACCUUUUGGCUAUUGUGAAUAAUGCUGCUAUUGAUACCAGUCCUGAUAUCAGUUUCCCCACAUUAAACCCAGCAUAUAUGGGGUUAAAACCAAAACACUCAUUCCCUGCUUACUCUGGCUUCCUGGCUCCAGAAUCCACUAUCCUCCAUGGAGACAGACACUGUCAAGGACAAGCACCUGGACUAUCUCCUCCCCGCAAGGAGCUACAGGCUGGUGGGAAAGCUGCUGACCAGCAAGGUCACGGGCUCCCUCCUCUCUGCAAGUGUUUCAAGGCCAAAGACAGGCUGGUGGGAAAGCUCCAACCAGCAAGACAAUAUGCUCCCCCUCCUCUACCUAAAACCCCAAAUAAAAACCUUACUUCUAGCUUUUCAGGGAAUUUUGGGAUUUCAGCGUUAGCUGCCCUCUCUCCUUGCUCAGCACUGUGCAAUAAUAAAAUGCCUACUUUCUUCCACUACACCCGGUGUCAGGGAUUGGCUUGCUGCAUAACGUGUGAGUGAACUCACUACAGGUUCGAUAUCACUAUGAGCAUUGAUGUGCAAAUAUCUGUUUGAAUCCCUGCUUUCAAUUCUUUUGGGUAUAUACCCAGAAGUGUAAUUGCUGGAUUACAUGGUCAUUCUAUGUUUAAUUUUUUUAAGGAAUCACCAUACUGUUUUUCACAGCAGCUGCACCAUUUUAUACCCCCACCAACAGUGUGCAACAGUUCCAAUUUCUCUACAUUCUUGCCAAUACUAGUUAUUUACUGUGUUUUUUAAAAAUUAUAGUCAUACUAAUGGGUGUAAGUUUGUGUCUCAAAAUUUUUGAGUCCCUAGUGGCCCCCAGCACGGUCCACAGCUUAGUUUGUAUGACAAUUUAUAUUUUUCAAAUUACAAGUGAAUUGCCUACAGUUCUCACUACCUUACACAAGGAGGCAUGGGGAAGAUGAUUCCCAUCUCACUGCUGAGGAAAUUGAGGUUCAGAGAGAUGAUAUGAUUUGUCCAAGAUGAGAAGACUUGUAAGUGGCAGUGGCAGGACAGCAUCCAGCACUCCGGCCACCCUGGCAGGCCUGGCAAGGAGGACACUUCCUCUGUGCUAGGCAAGGUCAGCCUGGGGCAUUGGGCAGUCAUGUCCUCACUUUCCCAAUGAGGAAACAGAAAGAGGGAUGGAGAGGAGCCCC
ensembl:lncRNA